UACGUAGGGAGCAAGCGUUGUCCGGAAUCAUUGGGCGUAAAGAGCGCGUAGGUGGCUUUAUAAGUCCGUUGUGAAAGUCAAAGGCUCAACCUUUGAAAGCCGAUGGAUACUGUGAAGCUAGAGUACGGAAGAGGCGAGUGGAAUUCCUGGUGUGGCGGUGGAAUGCGCAGAUAUCAGGAGGAACACCAAUAGCGAAGGCAGCUCGCUGGGACGUUACUGACACUGAGGCGCGAAAGCGUGGGGAGCGAACAGG
rnacentral:rRNA from 1 species